rnacentral:rRNA from 1 species
CAGUAGCCACGGGAAUACGUAGGUGGCAAGCGUUGUCCGAAGUUAUUGGGCGUAAAGGGCUCGCAGGCGGUUUCUUAAGUCUGGUGUGAAAGCCCCCGGCUCAACCGGGGAGGGUCAUUGGAAACUGGGAAACUUGAGUGCAGAAGAGGAGAGUGGAAUUCCACGUGUAGCGGUGAAAUGCGUAGAGAUGUGGAGGAACACCAGUGGCGAAGGCGACUCUCUGGUCUGUAACUGACGCUGAGGAGCGAAAGCGUGGGGAGCGAACAGGAUUAGAUACCCCUGUAGUCCCUGUCUCUUAUAC